GGGCAUUCAGAAGGCUUGCACUCUGGGCUACAUACAGGGAACCUGGUUUCUCCUCUCUUCGCCCAGGGGAAAGUCCCCGGACACCUGGCAGAAAGUGCCCUGGCUGGAAAACCAGGAUCGAUCUGCGCUCCACCACUAGUGAGCUGAGAUGUUCUGCUGAACUGAGCUCGGUGAUCGCAGGUCGAAUUUGUCAGCGUUGAUAGUUAUGCAAGAGAGCUGCUAGUAACGCCUUAACAGAACGGGGCUCAUUCUCCGAAUGCU
rnacentral:RNase_MRP_RNA from 1 species